GCAUCACUGAGGAGUCCCGCAAUAGGACGAAACGGCCCAUCUGAUAU
rnacentral:hammerhead_ribozyme from 1 species